CCUACGGGAGGCAGCAGUGGGGAAUAUUGCGCAAUGGGCGAAAGCCUGACGCAGCGACGCCGCGUGGGGGAUGACGGCCUUCGGGUUGUAAACCUCUUUCAGCAGGGACGAAGCGCAAGUGACGGUACCUGCAGAAGAAGCACCGGCCAACUACGUGCCAGCAGCCGCGGUAAUACGUAGGGUGCAAGCGUUGUCCGGAAUUAUUGGGCGUAAAGAGCUCGUAGGCGGUUUGUUGCGUCGGCUGUGAAAUCCCGAGGCUCAACCUCGGGUCUGCAGUCGAUACGAGCAAACUAGAGUGUUGCAGGGGAGACUGGAAUUCCUGGUGUAGCGGUGAAAUGCGCAGAUAUCAGGAGGAACACCGGUGGCGAAGGCGGGUCUCUGGGCAACAACUGACGCUGAGGAGCGAAAGCGUGGGGAGCGAACAGGAUUAGAUACCCUGGUAGUCCACGCCGUAAACGUUGGGCGCUAGGUGUGGGGCUCAAUCCACGAGUUCCGUGCCGCAGCUAACGCAUUAAGCGCCCCGCCUGGGGAGUACGGCCGCAAGGCUAAAACUCAAAGGAAUUGACGGGGGCCCGCACAAGCGGCGGAGCAUGUUGCUUAAUUCGAUGCAACGCGAAGAACCUUACCUAGGCUUGACAUGCACGGAAAUCUCCCAGAGAUGGGGGGUCCGUAAGGGCCGUGCACAGGUGGUGCAUGGUUGUCGUCAGCUCGUGUCGUGAGAUGUUGGGUUAAGUCCCGCAACGAGCGCAACCCUCGUCCUAUGUUGCCAGCACGUGAUGGUGGGGACUCAUAGGAGACUGCCGGGGUCAACUCGGAGGAUGGUGGGGAUGACGUCAAAUCAUCAUGCCCCUUAUGUCUAGGGCUGCAAACAUGCUACAAUGGGCCGGUACAAAGGGCUGCGAUACCGCGAGGUGAGCUAAUCCCAAAAAGCCGGUCUCAGUUCGGAUUGGGGUCUGCACUCGACCCAUGAGUCGGAGUCGCUAGUAAUCGCAGAUCAGCACGCCGCGUGAAUACGUUUCCCGG
rnacentral:rRNA from 1 species